GUUAUCGUAGCUUAAACACUAAAGCAUAACACUGAAAAUGUUAACAUGGACAGACUAGUCCCGAAUAACA